rnacentral:rRNA from 1 species
AUUGAACGCUGGCGGCAGGCCUAACACAUGCAAGUCGAACGGUAACAGGAAGCAGCUUGCUGCUUUGCUGACGAGUGGCGGACGGGUGAGUAAUGUCUGGGAAACUGCCCGAUGGAGGGGGAUAACUACUGGAAACGGUAGCUAAUACCGCAUAACGUCGCAAGACCAAAGAGGGGGACCUUAGGGCCUCUUGCCAUCGGAUGUGCCCAGAUGGGAUUAGCUAGUAGGUGGGGUAACGGCUCACCUAGGCGACGAUCCCUAGCUGGUCUGAGAGGAUGACCAGCCACACUGGAACUGAGACACGGUCCAGACUCCUACGGGAGGCAGCAGUGGGGAAUAUUGCACAAUGGGCGCAAGCCUGAUGCAGCCAUGCCGCGUGUAUGAAGAAGGCCUUCGGGUUGUAAAGUACUUCCAGCGGGGAGGAAGGGAGUAAAGUUAAUACCUUUGCUCAUUGACGUUACCCGCAGAAGAAGCACCGGCUAACUCCGUG